UACGUAGGUCCCGAGCGUUGUCCGGAUUUAUUGGGCGUAAAGCGAGCGCAGGUGGUUUAUUAAGUCUGGUGUGAAAGGCAGUGGCUCAACCAUUGUAUGCAUUGGAAACUGGUAGACUUGAGUGCAGGAGAGGAGAGUGGAAUUCCAUGUGUAGCGGUGAAAUGCGUAGAUAUAUGGAGGAACACCGGUGGCGAAAGCGGCUCUCUGGCCUGUAACUGACACUGAGGCUCGAAAGCGUGGGGAGCAAAUAGG
rnacentral:rRNA from 1 species